rnacentral:rRNA from 1 species
UAAACCGUUCUACAAACCAACUCAGGUGGGUUGGCUUUAGUAAGCUAAGGUAUACACGGAAUUCUGGGAAAGGAACUCGGCAAAUUGCUAGCGUGACUUCGGAGGUAGCUAGUCCUAUUUUUAAUAUAGGAACCAUAAAAUCGUGGGCGGCAACUGUCUAUUAACAACACAGGACUUUGCUAAGUUUUAACAAUGUAUAAAGUCUGACGCCUGCCCGGUACAAGGGGAUAACCCACGGUUGUAUACGCAACUAUGGAUAAGUACUUGUAAACGGCAGCCAUAACUCUGAUGGUUCUAAGG